GCCCUGGUGGUGAAAUGGUAGACACGAUUGAUUCAAAAUCAAUUGCCAAUAGGCGUGGAGGUUCAAUUCCUCUCCAGGGCA
rnacentral:tRNA from 1 species